GUCUGUGGCCACAUCACCCUGAAUGCAUCCAAGCCAAGAAGCUAAGCAGGGUCAGGCCUGGUUAGCAUUGGGAUGGGUGACUAGGAAAGGAGCAAUUGGCCAAAGAAA
ensembl:rRNA 5S_rRNA 5S ribosomal RNA